GCGUAACAGCUCACUAGUCGAGCGAUCGUGCAUGGAUAAUAAACGGGCAUUAAGUAGUACACCGAAGCUAUGGGUAAUAUUUAUAUUACGGUAGGGGAGCAUUCCAGCGGCAGCGAAGUUAUGACGUAAGUUGUGGUGGAGCUUCUGGAAAAGCAAAUGUAGGCAUAAGUAACGAUAAGGCAGGCGAGAAACCUGCCCACCGAAAGGAUAAGGUUUCCUGAUCAACGCUAAUCGGAUCAGGGUUAGUCGGGACCUAAGGAGAACCCGAAGGGGAUAUUCGACGGAC
rnacentral:rRNA from 1 species